ACGUUGCGUCCAGAUGAACAGAAUCAACUUUUGGAGAGUCUUUAAACUUCUAGUUUCUCACUGUGAGGGUCCACUAGCGUCUGAGUGAGGUCCAUUUUCAUCUUCUAACUGCAGCUUUAACAACACUGAUUCUAGCAGGAUUUGUAAAAAGCAUUUUGACAGUAACACACAAGACUGGACAGUUUUUGUUCUGAGGGUUUGCAAAUAGUUUGUCUCUAUGUGUUUAUCUGCAUUCAUGUUGUUCCUCUAUUAGAAAGUCAAUGUACAGAUGUUUAUUCCUGCAGUGACUGCUGUUCUUCAGCCUGUAGAAGCCAUCCUGUAGCUGCUGGAACAAGUCAAUCUUGCAGUGUGCAGCCUAACAAAGAUCUGUUUUGUGUCCCAGCUGAUCAGCAGGAGGAGAAGAGUCUGACGGAGCAGCAGAGGAACAUUUUCAGCCAUCUGGAAUCAGCUGAGUCACUACAGAGGAAACAACGAGCUCGACACAGAUGGACCAACAUGGACCGAGAAGUCAGCGCUCGCAGGAGGCCGACAAACCUCACAGAAGAAAGAGAGAGAAAACAUACACUUGUGACGAGUGUGGGAAAGAUUUUACUAGGAAGAAUUCACUAAAAAAGCAUCAGGUCAACCACACUGGAGACAGACCAUUCAGCUGUGGAGACUGUGGAAAGUCUUUUAUGCAGGCUUCACACUUAAAAUCACACCAACUCAUCCACACUGGAGAGAGACCAUUCAGCUGUGACGAGUGUGGAAAGUCUUUUAGGCAUUCUUCAAAUUUAAAAACCCACCAACUCAUCCACACUGGAGCGAGACCGUUCAGCUGUGGCGAGUGUGGAAAGGCUUUUACCCAGUCUGCAGGCUUAAAAAAACACCAACUCAUCCACAGUGGCGUUAGAGCGUACACCUGUGAUCAGUGUGGCAGAGCUGUUACUCAGCGUAGCCACUUAAAGAAUCAUCUAGUUACCCACUCUGGAAUGAAAGCCUACAGCUGUGACAUUUGUGGAAAAACUUUCAGUCACAUUGACAGCCAAAAUACACACCUACGCAUUCACACCAGACAUGAUGUGUACAGCUGUAAUCAGUGUGGUAAACUAUGUUUAACAGGCACACACUUACAACGCCACAUGUUUACCCACUCUGAGGAGAGACCUUAUAAAUGUGACCUGUGUGAGAAGACUUUUAAAUCUCCACAUGACCUGAGACGACACCAACAAACCCACACCAGAAAGAGACUCUACAAGUGCAGCUACUCGGAGCGACACAGAUGGAUCCAGUUCUCAAGCCUGUCAUCACUGUGGGAAAGCGUUUCAUUGUGACCUUUGUGGAAAAACUUUCACUCUGCAAAAGACACUGCAAUGAAUGUGGGAGAGGCUUCACCAGGCCAAAAGACUUAAAAGAGCAUGAACACAUUCACAGUGGGGUUAAAAAGCACAUCUGUGAUCAGUAUUGGGUCAUCCUUCAUCAGUGCACGUCAGCUUAAAGUGUAUAGACGAGUCUGCACGGGAGAGAAACCAUACAAGUGCAGACACAAAACCUUUUCACAAUCAUGUAAUCGUAACAAGCAGGAACGCACAUACAUGAAAGACAACUUCAGCUGUGAAUGAGUUUGAGUAAUCUCAGUUUAUACUCCAUUCACAGAUGAUCCGAUGUUAUUAAUAAACUGUUUCAUUGUUACCAAAGUCCAAAAACAUUUACUAAAUUAUCUCCUCCAUGCAAAAAUCAGCCUAAUUAUGCAGGACUGAAAUCAUUCUAUCAUUGGAUCACAGUGACUCUGAAGAGACAGAAAGAUCAUCUUCUUGUUUCAGGGUCAGACUUAAAACCCUUGAGAUCAGGCUCCACAGAGUUCAGAGUGAACCUCUGAUGAGGAAGAUCUGAUGAGGCAGCUGUGAAUGAAAAUGUGCCUCUCGUUACAUUUUAAGCUUUCUAAACUGUUGUACUGUAGCGUUCGUGUUGAGUGGUUAGCUUUGUUCCAGCAGUUGGAUUAAGAAUUCUGUUUCCUGUUGUCAUGUUUUUAUUUAAUGCAGUUUGAUCCAUGUGUUCUGCAGAGGGUUUUCUUUCAGGUUGUUUUUAUGAAAUCCUGCAAC